rnacentral:rRNA from 1 species
GACCCUAGGUCAGGCAGGGCCACCCACCAAGCUUAAGCAUAUCAAUAAGCAGAUGAGAAGAAACUUACGAGGAUUCCCCUAGUAACGAUGAGCAAACCGAGACU